rnacentral:rRNA from 1 species
GAUGAACGCUGGCGGCGUGCCUAAUACAUGCAAGUCGAGCGAACAGACGAGGAGCUUGCUCCUCUGACGUUAGCGGCGGACGGGUGAGUAACACGUGGAUAACCUACCUAUAAGACUGGGAUAACUUCGGGAAACCGGAGCUGAUACCGGAUAAUAUAUUGAACCGCAUGGUUCAAUAGUGAAAGACGGUUUUGCUGUCACUUAUAGAUGGAUCCGCGCCGCAUUAGCUAGUUGGUAAGGUAACGGCUUACCAAGGCGACGAUGCGUAGCCGACCUGAGAGGGUGAUCGGCCACACUGGAACUGAGACACGGUCCAGACUCCUACGGGAGGCAGCAGUAGGGAAUCUUCCGCAAUGGGCGAAAGCUUGACGGAGCAACGCCGCGUGAGUGAUGAAGGUCUUCGGAUCGUAAAACUCUGUUAUUAGGGAAGAACAAAUGUGUAAGUAACUAUGCACGUCUUGACGGUACCUAAUCAGAAAGCCACGGCUAACUACGUG